UACGUAAGGGGCAAGCGUUAUCCGGAUUUACUGGGUGUAAAGGGAGCGUAGACGGCAGUGCAAGUCUGAUGUGAAAGCCCGGGGCUCAACCCCGGGACUGCAUUGGAAACUGUGCAGCUAGAGUGUCGGAGAGGUAAGUGGAAUUCCUAGUGUAGCGGUGAAAUGCGUAGAUAUUAGGAGGAACACCAGUGGCGAAGGCGGCUUACUGGACGAUAACUGACGUUGAGGCUCGAAAGCGUGGGGAGCAAACAGG
rnacentral:rRNA from 1 species